CCGUCAGCCCCUUUAUCUCCCAGCUCCCUGUUUCCCUGAUCCCGGGGUCCUGGUGCCCCAAGAAGGGGCCUCAGCCAGCGCUGCCCAGGCCCAGAGGAAGAUGAAGGUCGCUGUGCUCAGCGUGGCCCUGCUCUUCACCAUCCUGCUGAGCCCCCCGGCAGAUGCCAAGCCCUUUUUUGCCAGCGGCGAAGCCUGCGGGGGGGUAAGUCUGGGAGCUG